CCUACGGGUGGCAGCAGUGAGGAAUAUUGGUCAAUGGACGAGAGUCUGAACCAGCCAAGUAGCGUGAAGGAUGACUGCCCUCUGGGUUGUAAACUUCUUUUAUAUGGGAGUAAAAUGUUCCCCGUGUCGGAUUUUGUAUUUACCAUAUGAAUAAGGAUCGGCUCACUCCGUGCCAGCAGCCGCGGUACUACGGAGGGUCCGAGCGUUAUCCGGAUUUAUUUGGUUUAAAGGGAGCGUAGGGGGGUUGUUAAGUCAGAUGUGAAAGUCUGCGGCUCAACCGGAAAAUUGCAGUUGAAACUGGCAGUCUUGAGUACAGGAGAGGUGGGCGGAAUUCGUGGUGUAGCGGUGAAAUGCGUAGAUAUAAGGAAGAACUCCGAUUGCGAAGGCAGCUUACUGGACUGACACUGACACUGAGGCUCGAAAGCGUGGGUAGCAAACAGGAUUAGAUACCCUAGUAGUC
rnacentral:rRNA from 1 species